UCCUUCCCUAAACGGCGCUCUUCCGCAGGCCGACGCUCUGUCCACUGAGCCAAGCCGACCAGGGCAACUCCUGGCAAAUUGGUGUCUGUGUUUC